GAUGAACGCUGGCGGCGUGCCUAAUACAUGCAAGUCGAGCGACCGGACGAUAAGCUUUCUUCUCUGAUGUUAGCGGCUGACGGGUGAGUAACACGUGGAUAACCUACCUCUUUUACUUGGAUAACUUCGUGAAACCGCAGCUAAUACCAGAUCAUAUUUUGUACCGCAUGGUUCAAAAGUUAUUGACGCUCUUGCUGUCACUUAUAGAUGGUUCCGCGCUGCAUUAGCUAGUUGGUAAGGUAACGGCUUACCAAGGCAACGAUGCAUAUCCGACCUGAGAGGGUGAUCGGCCACACUGGAACUGAGACACGGUCCAGACUCCUACGGGAGGCAGCAGUAGGGAAUAUUGCGCAAAGGGCGAAAGCCUGACGGAGCAACGCCGCGUGAGUGAAGAAGGUCUUCGGAUCGUAAAACUCUGUUGUUAGGGAAGAAAAGAUGUGUAAGUAACUGUGGACAUCUUGACGGUACCUAAUCAGAAAGCCACGGCUAACUACGUG
rnacentral:rRNA from 1 species